GACGUGGGGGGCUAGCGUUGCUCGGAAUCACUGGGCGUAAAGCGCACGUAGGCGGAUUGCUAAGUCAGGGGUGAAAUCCUGGAGCUCAACUCCAGAACUGCCUUUGAUACUGGCGAUCUCGAGUCCGGGAGAGGUGAGUGGAACUGCGAGUGUAGAGGUGAAAUUCGUAGAUAUUCGCAAGAACACCAGUGGCGAAGGCGGCUCACUGGCCCGGUACUGACGCUGAGGUGCGAAAGCGUGGGGAGCAAACAGG
rnacentral:rRNA from 1 species